rnacentral:lncRNA from 1 species
CCUAGUUCUUGCAAAGCCACCUAAUCAAGCCUCACCUCAUUUGUAGUUAUAACAUGUUCAGCUGAAAGCAAACUCCAAAUAAAAUUGGUUUACUAUUAGUAACACAUAUACUUUUUUACCUUAGCUCUUUCUUUAUUGUUCAUUGAGCAGUUCAAAUGCUUUGAUUGCUUAUGAGAUAAGAGGUAAAAAUAUUCUUCAUUCGUUUAUUUUGUUAAUUCAAAAUUGCAUUCAAAUCCAUUCUUUCUCAUAACUUGAGAAUAUGUACAGCGCAGAACAGAAAAGAAGGCAGAUUUGAUGAGUUGUAGGGGCGGACCCACUUCCACUGAUUUCUUGCGGGAAGGUUCUAUAAGGGAAGAAGAAUCAGAGCUGUGACCUGGUAACCUUGAUUUCUUUCGGAACGUCAUUACGAGAGUAACAAAUAAAGAAUAACGUAGAUAGGAAGGAGCGAGCCGAGCCCCAAGGAUAAUGAAUUGGUAUGCCGGGUGCUUACGUGAGAAAGAAGCCAAGUCAUCGAUAAUCAAAGAAAGGUGUGAGUGAACGAGCCCAACUUUCCGAUUCAAAUAUGACUCCUUUCCACUUUCAACAAAUAGAGAAAUCUCCGCUAGGCUAGCAGUGGGCAACCAACGUAGUGCCCCAUUCGUUCCAUGACAUCCAAUCAGUUCUCCUCGGAUUCCAAUCCAAUCUCCCAAUCAGUGAGAAAUAGACGGUCGGAUGAGAUCUCGAACGUUGUCCCUACCUACUGAGGAAUCCAAAGUGUACGUAGAAAAAGAGAGUGUUGGAAAUGCAUCGAGGAGAACUUGCCUUGUGAGUCACUACUCCGGCACUGGGCAGGAAUACUACUAGCGAGGCUUAUAGGCGGCUAGUUCUUAAAGAAAUCUGUCAGCUAUAACCUAGCCUAUUGAAUCUGGUACGCCCGAAGCACGAAACUAGAUAGGUAGCCCUACCUACGACUAGAAAAGUAUCGUAUUUUUU